UCUCCUUCAGAAAUAUAACGGCUGUCAUCAAUCAUGUUCAUCAUGGCCAUUAAAAGGUUCGACUAAACUAUUUGAUAUUAAACCCAUGCCUCCAUCUCUAGCCUUUUUAUCUUACACCAACACACAUAUCAGAGAAGGAGAGGAGAGCAGGGGAGACGAACGCCUAAUCAAACCUGCCCAUUCAUUUCCGGUCACCACUCCUGAAUUGAAUGGAAAUUAGGUCUACUUUGCGGGUCGACAUAUAUAUAGAUAUAUACUUUUCGUCUUCACUGAAUCCAUAGAGAUCGAGAAACCGGUUGCGGUGGCGGUGGUGGUUGUGCUGGCCGUCCAUCAAUUCAAGCCAUCAUCGACCAGGUUCCUUUGCUAAAUUUUGGGGGUUUUCUUCUCGACCAAUUGUUUAAACGAAUUGUUGCUGGUGGGCUUGAUCGACCAAGAACCAAGUGCUUUUGAUGGUAUUGGGGUAUGCUUUGUUUCAACUUUGGGGAAAGCACUGGGAUGCAGGGAAUGUCAUAAAUAAUUGUUUUAAUAACACGGAGCAUGGUGUAGUGGUUGAUUGAGGUUUGCUGAUAGAGGAUGCUUACAAAAGGUGUUGCUCCAUCGACCCAGACAUGCAACACCAUGAUUACGUAAAACCUCAGAUAUUGUUUUAACGUGUAUGACAAGAAACAAGAGUUCCCUUCUCUUUUCUUAUGUUAAGCCUGUUGACAUAUGCAGUGUGUAUGGUGUUGUGAUAAUCGGGUUUGUUCACGGGUCGUGAGUCAACGGGUCAAACCGUUCACAGGUUCACGGGCUGUGGGUUUUGGAAACGGGUCAGAUUGGGCUCCAAACUUGCGGCAGAAGAAUUAUAUAUUUAUUGACGUUUAUGUA